rnacentral:lncRNA from 1 species
UAUUUUAUAUUUACUGAUUUUUGAAUUAUGUAAAUUCAGUGUUUCAAAAAAUGAAUAAAACAUUAGUAUAAAAGGAAUGCUUUCUAUUCACAACUCAUCAAUUUUCUCAAAAUACCCAAGUCGUAUUAAAAAUACUUGAUUAUAAUAUAAAAGGAAAAAGAACUGAGUGAUAUAGACACAAAUCAAGAUACAGGGAAAGAGAAUGGUAGUGUCUACAUCACCAGCAAACACAGUAAAUAUGCUUCCAGCAAGGAUUCGCGUCCAGUUUCUGCCUGCGGCAACACAUAUGGUGUCAAAGCAAAUGAGAAACACCCCCUUUCGCUGCACAGACAGACCACAAGCAUUUGUCUUAGGCAGGGCUGGUAUCACUGCGAUAAAAUACCAGGACCAAAAAUGACUUGGGAAGGAAAGGGUUUAUUUAGUUACACUUCCACAUUGUUGUUGAUCACUGAAGGAAGAAGUCAAGACAGGACAGAACCUUGGAGACAGGAGCUGACACAGAGGACAACAGAGGAUGCGGAAGCAUGCUGUUCGCUGGCUUGCUCCCCCUGGUUUGCUCUGCCUGCUGUUUUUACAGAAUUCAGGAGCACCUACCCAGAGGUAGACCCACCCACAAAGAGCUGGGCCCACCUCCAUUAAUGACUGAUAAGGAAAAUGCUCUAUAGCCUUGCCUACAGCCUCCC